UACGGAAGGCAGCAGUGGGGAAUAUUGCACAAUGGGCGAAAGCCUGAUGCAGCUAUGCCGCGUGUAUGAAGAAGGCCUUAGGGUUGUAAAGUACUUUCAUCGGGGAGGAAAAAACAAAACUAAUAAUUUUAUUUCUUGACGUUACCCGAAAAAGAAGCACCGGCUAACUCCGUGCCAGCAGCCGCGGUAAUACGGAGGGUGCUAGCGUUAAUCAGAAUUACUGGGCGUAAAGAGCACGUAGGUGGUUUUUUAAGUCAGAUGUGAAAUCCCUGGGCUUAACCUAGGAACUGCAUUUUGAAACUGAAAUACUAGAGUAUCGUAGAGGGAGGUAGAAUUCUAGGUGUAGCGGUGAAAUGCGUAGAUAUCUGGAGGAAUACCUGUGGCGAAAGCGGCCUCCUAAACGAAUACUGACACUGAGGUGCGAAAGCGGUGGGGAGCAAACAGGGAUUAGAUACC
rnacentral:rRNA from 1 species